rnacentral:snRNA from 1 species
AUACUUACCUGGCAGGGGAGAUACCAUGAUCACGAAGGUGGUUUCCCCAGGGCGAGGCUUAUCCAUUGCACUCCGGAUGUGCUGACCCCUGCGAUUUCCCCAAAUGUGGGAAACUCGACUGCAUAAUUUGUGGUAGUGGGGGACUGCGUUUGCGCUCUCCCCUG